rnacentral:rRNA from 1 species
AUUGAACGCUGGCGGCAGGCUUAACACAUGCAAGUCGAGCGGGGGAAGGUAGCUUGCUACCGGACCUAGCGGCGGACGGGUGAGUAAUGCUUAGGAAUCUGCCUAUUAGUGGGGGACAACAUCUCGAAAGGGAUGCUAAUACCGCAUACGUCCUACGGGAGAAAGCAGGGGAUCUUCGGACCUUGCGCUAAUAGAUGAGCCUAAGUCAGAUUAGCUAGUUGGUGGGGUAAAGGCCUACCAAGGCGACGAUCUGUAGCGGGUCUGAGAGGAUGAUCCGCCACACUGGGACUGAGACACGGCCCAGACGCCUACGGGAGGCAGCAGUGGGGAAUAUUGGACAAUGGGGGGAACCCUGAUCCAGCCAUGCCGCGUGUGUGAAGAAGGCCUUAUGGUUGUAAAGCACUUUAAGCGAGGAGGAGGCUACUUUAGUUAAUACCUAGAGAUAGUGGACGUUACUCGCAGAAUAAGCACCGGCUAACUCAGUGCCAGCAGCCGCCGUAA